ensembl:snRNA U6 U6 spliceosomal RNA
AUGCUCGCUUCGGCAGCACAUAUACUAAAACUGGAACGAUGCAGAGAUUAGCAUGGCCCCUGUGCAAGGAUGACACACAAAUUCACAAAGCGUUCCAUAUUCUU